UACGUAGGGUGCGAGCGUUAAUCGGAAUUACUGGGCGUAAAGGGUGCGCAGGCGGUCUCGUAAGCUGGGUGUGAAAGCCCCGGGCUUAACCUGGGAAUGGCAUUCAGGACUGCGAGGCUUUGAGUGCGGCAGAGGGAGGUGGAAUUCCACGUGUAGCAGUGAAAUGCGUAGAGAUGUGGAGGAACACCGAUGGCGAAGGCGGCUCACUGGCCCGGUACUGACGCUGAGGUGCGAAAGCGUGGGGAGCAAACAGG
rnacentral:rRNA from 1 species